GACGAACGCUGGCGGCGUGCUUAACACAUGCAAGUCGAACGGAAAGGCCUGCUUUUUCUUGUGGAUUGCGGGUACUCGAGUGGCGAACGGGUGAGUAACACGUGAGUGUUCUGCCCCCAACUUGGGUAUAAGCCUGGGAAACUGGGUCUAAUUCCCGCUAGGACUGCAGGGUGGUGUCUGUGGUGGCAAACGUUUUUCUAGUGGUUGGGGAUGAGCUGCCGGCGUAUCAGCUUGUUGGUGGGGUAAUGUCCUACGAAGGCGGGGACGGGUAGCCGGCCUGGGAGAGUGGACGGGCGAAGUGGGACUGAGAUACGGCGCAGACGGCAAGGGGCAGCAGCAGAGGGGAAUAAGGCGCAGUGAGCGGGAGGCUGAUGCAGCGAGGCAGCGUGGGGGAUGACGGGCUUCGGAUUGUAAACUCCUAGCGACCAAGAGGUAGCCACCUGGUUGGAAGGGUGGUGACGGUAGUGGUAGAAGAAGCACCGGCUAACUACGUG
rnacentral:rRNA from 1 species